GGAUCCAGACUUUGAUUCUGGCUCAGGAUGAACGCUAGCGGGAGGCCUAACACAUGCAAGCCGAGCGGUAUUUGUUCUUCGGAACAGAGAGAGCGGCGCACGGGUGCGGAACACGUGUGCAACCUGCCUUUAUCUGGGGGAUAGCCUUUCGAAAGGAAGAUUAAUACCCCAUAAUAUAUUGAGUGGCAUCAUUUGAUAUUGAAAACUCCGGUGGAUAGAGAUGGGCACGCGCAAGAUUAGAUAGUUGGUGAGGUAACGGCUCACCAAGUCAAUGAUCUUUAGGGGGCCUGAGAGGGUGAUCCCCCACACUGGUACUGAGACACGGACCAGACUCCUACGGGAGGCAGCAGUGAGGAAUAUUGGACAAUGGGUUAGCGCCUGAUCCAGCCAUCCCGCGUGAAGGACGACGGCCCUAUGGGUUGUAAACUUCUUUUGUAUAGGGAUAAACCUACUCUCGUGAGAGUAGCUGAAGGUACUAUACGAAUAAGCACCGGCUAACUCCGUGCCAGCAGCCGCGGUAAUACGGAGGGUGCAAGCGUUAUCCGGAUUUGUUGGGUUUAAAGGGUCCGUAGGCGGAUCUGUAAGUCAGUGGUGAAAUCUCACAGCUUAACUGUGAGACUGCCAUUGAUACUGCAGG
rnacentral:rRNA from 1 species